GACGUGGUGGAGCACUUCACUGCGGUUUUUAAGAGCAGCUUCGUGUGUCGGUGGGUUAGCACAGAGACUUUCUCAUCAUUUGAAUCUCACAUCUUAAA